CAUCAUCAGAAUCAUAUGUGGAACUUUUUAAUCACAGAGAUCCCUGGGCCUGCCACGGAGAUUCCAAGUCCAUGGGUCCUAGUGAGCUCUGAAAUCCACAUGUUUAAAAAGCUUCCCAGAAAAUUUCAGUGAUCAAUCAGCAUCUCGCAUGUCACUCCCAUGGCAAACAGAAGGGGGCGCCUUAGUUCCUAGUUGACCGGCCUGUGAGACGUUACUACAUUUUCCUCACAGCCCAAUUCUCCCUUCCUUGGGCACAUCAGAGGCUUUUAAAGCAACCUUGAAAGCAAAGCUCCACGGAGACCUCUCGCUUUUGCCACUUGCAUCAAGAGCAAGGUUGCAUUAUUUUUAAAUGCUAUAGUGUCUGGGUCUCCCUCCAAACGUUGCUGAAUUCACAAAAUAAAUGAUAGCAUAUUACCAGCAAUUCUACGGGGCUUUAAAAAUUUCCCUUGCUUUUAUUGAACUCAUUCUCUAAAAAGUGAUUUGGAGGGUUUGUGCUAUCUUCUUUGUAUUUUAUAUGGUAAGGUGUUCUUUGUUUGGGGUUAUGUUUGGGGUUUUUUAAAAUCCAGAUUCAUAUUGUUCCUUAUGCACAAUGACAUGAGAAGCUACAAGAAGCUGUUCUCAAGGAAAAUGUAGUUCUGAAUUACCUUGUAAUCUGCUGGGAGCUGCAGGAUGCUCGGACCUACCAUGAAGCCCCCUGGCCUGCCCCACACUUGAGGGUGGUGGACUAAAUGUGUAUGCCAUGUGGACUAAGAGCAGGUUUUUUCCCCAAAGUUCUCCAGAAAUUUGAGAUGAACUUGCUUCCUAAUGUUUCCCAGGAAUAUAAUUAAAUAUAAUAGAACA